UUUCCCGAAUUCCCAAACAUCACCGCGCGCUCUCUCUCUGUCUCUCUCGCCCAGAACCUCACCGCUCUCUCUCUCUCUCUCUCUCUCUCGCCCAGAGUCCUAAACUAGAAAUUUCUCAGCCCGGAACCUCACCGUUCCCGCCGUUCUGAAGAUUUCAAUAAAUCUGCCAUUGAAAUCAUAUAUCCGAAAGAAAAAAGCAAGAAAGAAAUAUCUAAUCAAACCUAUCCUCUCCCCUCUCUCUCUCUUUCUCUCGGUCAAAAUGCAAAGCCUAAGCCUCUCGUCAAAACCUAUCUCAGUCCCAGGCUCCCAGCUCCUUGCUUGUAUUGUUUAUCCAAAUCCUCUUUCUCUUCAGCAAAAUCGAAAUCCUCUUUAUCCAAAGUGCCCCUCCUAAAAUACCAAACACCCAGAUCUAGCUAGCUAUGCCUUCUAAUCUUCUAUCUUAUCAAGUUCUGAGUGCAGAUUCGUAUUUAUGAUUGGCAGUAACUCUAGCCUUCAAAUUGUUUGAAAUUGGCAGUAACUCUAGUUCUGAUAACAUCUGUUUGAAAUUGUUGUUAUUUGCUUCAUUGCAGGUAGAGUUGUUCAAGCAGUGCCGAUUAGAAGCAGUACCAUGAGUAUUUUCUAGAGGCUGGAGUGGCUGCAGCACAUGGUAUGCUUGGAAAAGGGUGUGCCCUGUUGGGAAACCCAAAAUAUAUGGCUCUUUCAUUGACGGAAACAGCAACACGCCUAUUUGUUACUAGAUUUUUUAGACAUUAUAUAUCUACCGGAUGUUUAAUCUUAUUAGAAGAGGGAGGCACAAUGUUCACCUUUGAGGGAAGCAGAAAGGACUGUUCUCUAAAAUCCAUUCUUAAAGUUCACAGUCCUCAGUUUUACUGGAAAGUGGAGGGGGAAUGGUUUGGUUUCAGAACUUGUUGUAGUAGUGUAGGAGAAACCCAUGCUUGAUGAAUGUGAAGCAUUACUGGCUUCAGUAGCAGCUAUGCAGUCCCCAUCUUUGGAGAAUGUCACAAGACAUACUGGAAGACCAUGGAAAAUAAUGGUUGAGAAUGAUGGUUAGAAGUUAGAACAUUGUCUCUACUCUCAAGUGAGUUCCUUCUACGUAGGUGAUUUUGGGUUCGCAGCAUAGCUUACGUGGACAAUGCCAAAGCUCAACAUGGUAUAUAUUGGGGAGUGGAUGCAGCAUACACAACCACACCCAUGUGCAUUACAAUAACUGUUACUAUUGAUUGAGGUUCUCAUGGCAAAAAGAGCAAAGCAAAUGAAAGCAAGUGCAAAGCUAACAAAAUGAGAGUAAAAUGGUGCAGUUGUGAUUGUUGUUUUAUUUCAAGUGUGGUUAUAAUUUUCAAUACUUGAAAAUGACAACACAUUUAUUUUCAUUUUCGUGUUUGUAUUUGAGUAUGGUACGAUGACUCAAUGGAUAUGUUUAACUAUAUUUUUUAUGAAUUAAUGUUAAUUUCCUAUUUGAUUUAAUAAAUGCAGAUAUUUAAUUGCUUAA